rnacentral:pre_miRNA from 11 species
UGCCAUGCUUUUCCACAGCUUUCUUGAACUUCUUCUCCCUGUUUGGUGGUCUCCUACGUUUACCCAUCCACUGAAGUUCAAGAAAGCUGUGGGAAACCAUGGCUU